rnacentral:rRNA from 1 species
GUAGGUGGGCAAGCGUUGUCCGGAAUUAUUGGGCGUAAAGCGCGCGCAGGGCGGUCCUUUAAGUCUGAUGUGAAAGCCCACGGCUCAACCGUGGAGGGUCAUUGGAAACUGGGGGACUUGAGUACAGAAGAGGAAAGCGGAAUUCCAAGUGUAGCGGUGAAAUGCGUAGAGAUUUGGAGGAACACCAGUGGCGAAGGCGGCUUCCUGGUCUGUAACUGACGCUGAGGCGCGAAAGCGUGGGGAGCAAACAGGAUUAGAUACCCUGGUAGUCCACGCCGUAAACGAUGAGUGCUAAGUGUUAGGGGGUUUCCGCCCCUUAGUGCUGCAGCUAACGCAUUAAGCACUCCGCCUGGGGAGUACGGCCGCAAGGCUG